rnacentral:rRNA from 1 species
UACAGAGGUGGCAAGCGUUGUCCGGAAUUAUUGGGCGUAAAGGGCUCGUAGGCGGUCUGUUGCGUCGGGAGUGAAAACUUACAGCUUAACUGUGAGCGUGCUUUCGAUACGGGCAGACUUGAGGCAUUCAGGGGAGAACGGAAUUCCUGGUGUAGCGGUGAAAUGCGCAGAUAUCAGGAAGAACACCCGUGGCUAAGGCGGUUCUCUAGUACGGUACUGACGCUGAGACGCGAAAGCGUGGGGAGCGAACAGG